ACGAUUUUUUUCCCGAAGGGCACCCGCGAAGGUGGGAAGUAACCUUAAGCCACUUCCAAGAAGACUUAAAAGCCACUCCAUGUUCUGCAGUAUCCAAUACUAUGGGUUAUUAAUUUCUGGCAUUAUGGCUGCUUUCUAUAGAUGGGUCAUGUAAAUUGACUUUGAAUAUCAGUACAUUUUAUGGUAUGGUAAAAACAGAAACAAUCUUGGACAAACUUUCAAUUGGCAACUUAUAACCUUCAUUAUUGCUGAGAAAAAUGUUGUAAAUGAACUAAUGCGGAGUCCUUCAUCCAAGUUUUGCAAGUUGUAGAGAGUAGUGGGAAAUCUUUAUGACAAUAUUGGUCUGCUUUGCAUUGCCAGAUCUUCAUGACAUACACUGUAGGUUGCUUGUUACAUUGAAAGAUCCGCUGAAUUAAAUUGAAAUGUUCUUGGUGUACUAUGAAUGUCUCACUUGUGUCUUAGAAGUGAAUUUAAGGUCAUACAAUCAUUCAUUACACAAGUCAGUGAUAUAAGACAGUAAAAUAAAUAUUAAGAAGCUGUACUUUUUAAAAAAAUACGAAUGCCAGCUACCCUGUCAAUAUUUUUUAUGUUGCCCCUAAACAGUUUUUGCUGGUAUACUCUAUUUAUACUGAGACUUGGCAGUCAUGGGAACUGUAGGAGUAAAGUGUCCAAACCGAAAGCACGUCACUGUAAAACCUGUUGUCAGUGCUCAGACCAAGAUGAAGUAGUGCCAUGAAAAUUGUGCCUCAGUUUGAUUUCUUGUUUCAUUUUGCCAGGCAGAGCUCAAAUCUUGUUUUCCCGAGUCUUAUCUUAACGGCAUUAAACAGUUACGCCAUUUACAUGAUCUGUGUGAGUGGGGAGCAAAAGAAGGACUCAACAGAUUACGAAACAUCUUGAAGCAUUACAGCAGAGAAACAGCAGCACUGUUAAUAGAGCAGACAGAGGCAAGCCAUCUGGAGCGGUUUCCUUCUCUUCUCACAGUUGGUCGGAGUGUAGUGAGCAACUUCCUUCACAAUAUUGACAUGUAAGUUCUAAGUGAUGUUUUCUUUAUGGCAACUAUAGUG